rnacentral:Y_RNA from 1 species
CACUGGCCUGAAGGUAGUUAUUUCAAUUGAUUGUGCACAGUCAGUUACAGAUCAACUUCUCAAACUCCUUGUUCUACUCUUACCCUCUUCUCACUACCGCACUGACUAGUCUUUU